UAGAUCUAUGUGUAUACCACAAUUAUUCCACAUUUCAGUGUAUUAUAAACUUCGUUUACUCUGUGUUAGAGACAUUCUACCCAUUGUGGCUAACUGGCGCCCAAAUCCAGUUUGCGACGACGUCUCCUCGUUGAAGUCAUGUGCAUUCGCUUGUCUGGGCCUUCACAAAGAAUUUGCUUGUGGGGCCAUCUGUGGGGCACGAAAAGAACGCCAAGAAGAUGGUGCUGGUGAAGGGAGGAUCCUGGUUCUGUCUGGAAUCCAGCACACAAUGGGUGGUGGAGCGCAUUGUGAACGCCACUUAAUUACACGGAAGUCUGCCCGAACUGAACCGAGAUGAGCUGCAGUUGCUGCCAAGUCGCGUCAUGUGGCUCACUGGAGAGCUGAAAAGAGCCAGAUUUAGGGCCUCUGUCUUGGCCAGUUCAAGGUUGGCCCAAAAGUCGAAAAUCGUUGGAAGUUCGCCGAACUUGGCCUGCAGUGCACGAGGAGUAAUUCCGGUGUUAAUUUGUACGCAAGAUGCCCAUCAAUCAUGGGAGGGUCCACAUAUUUGUGGGCGUUGGCGGCUAAACUUUGAAGGAGCUGCCCCUGGAAAAAGACGGCGGCGGUGAACCAAUCGAUCUGCGAACGUGAGAAAAAUAAUUGCCUCCAAAUAUGUGCAAAACAAAAUUUUGGUACUGAAAUUUAAUAAUAAUUGCAAAUAUGGUAACCUCCUCA